rnacentral:rRNA from 1 species
AUUGAACGCUGGCGGCAUGCUUUACACAUGCAAGUCGAACGGUAACAGGCCUUCGGGUGCUGACGAGUGGGGAACGGGUGAGUAAUGCAUCGGAACGUGCCCAGAGGUGGGGGAUAACGCAGCGAAAGCUGUGCUAAUACCGCAUGUGAUCUGAGGAUGAAAGCGGGGGACCAGGCAGCAAUGUUUGGCCUCGCGCCUUUGGAGCGGCCGAUGUCAGAUUAGGUAGUUGGUGGGGUAAAGGCCUACCAAGCCGACGAUCUGUAGCUGGUCUGAGAGGACGACCAGCCACACUGGGACUGAGACACGGCCCAGACUCCUACGGGAGGCAGCAGUGGGGAAUUUUGGACAAUGGGCGCAAGCCUGAUCCAGCAAUGCCGCGUGCGGGAAGAAGGCCUUCGGGUUGUAAACCGCUUUUGUACGGAACGAAAAGGCUCUGGCUAAUACCUGGGGCUGAUGACGGUACCGUAAGAAUAAGCACCGGCUAACUACGUG